rnacentral:sRNA from 1 species
GCGAGUCUAGUAUUGUAAAGGGUGGUUUCAAUUACAGACAAUACGAGGACGCCAAGUCGAGGCCUUGGGAAACAAUGACAGGAGCUUGAACGCAGAUAAAGCUGUAACUACAGCAAGGCGCGAAGAAUUAAGCAGCUGCCCUGACGCUCAUCUUCUUUACCUCGAUUAGCCGGCAAACGGUCGAGAAUCAACAGGUGCCAGCCUCGGCUUUGCCAUGCGAGGUUCAAAUUACGAUGCUAUUCCACACAUCCAUACGGUACCGGGAUUCUGGGGCUCCGUCUCACGCUUUGCAGGUUGUGAAAAAUACAACGGGGG